GCCAGGCGCAAUGGCGAGUGCCUGUAGUCCCAGCUACCCGGGAGGCUGAGGUGGGAGGAUCGCUUGAGCCCAGGAGUUCUAGGCUGUAGUGCACUAUGCCGAUCGGGUGUCCACACUAAGUUCGGCAUCAAUAUGGUGACGUCCCGGGAGCGGGGGACCACCAGGUUGCCUAAGGAGGGGUGAACCAGCCCAGAUCGGAAACGGAGCAGGUCAAAACUCCCGUGCUGAUCAGUAGUGGGAUUGCGCCUGUGAAUCACCACUGCACUCCAGCCUGGGCAACAUAGUGAGAUCCCGCCUCU
rnacentral:SRP_RNA from 1 species